CGUCUGGUGGAUAGCUCGGCUCGGACGCUGAGGAAGGGCGCGACAAGCUGCGAUAAGCCUCGGGUAGGCGCACGUAGCCUUAGAUCCGAGGAUCCCUGAAUGGGACUUCCUAUCCCUAAGGCCUUCGGGCUUUAGGGAUGCUCCUACGGGAGCGGGAACCCCCCGAACGGAAGCAUCUUAGUAGGGGGAGGAAGAGAAACCAACCGGGAUUCCCUGAGUAGCGGCGAGCGAAAAGGGAAAAGUCCAAACCAAACCCUACGGGGAAACCCGUGGGGGAUGUGGUGUUACGGGCCCAGCUGCCUCCUCCCCGGCGAAGCUGAAGUGGCCUGGAACGGCCCGCCAGAGAGGGUGAAAGCCCCGUAAGCGUAAGCCGAGUGGAGCUGAGCUGGUGUCCCAGAGUACCGUACCCUGACUUGGGUGCGGGAAGUUGGGAGUCACCAACUUCCAAGACUAAAUACGUUCCGAGACCGAUAGCGAACAAGUACGGUGACGGAAAGCUGAAAAGUGCCCCGGAAGGGGGGUGAAAAGAGCUUGAAACCAGACGGUUACAGACGUGUGCGGCCUGAAAGGGUAGAUCCCUCCCAAAGGAAACCGCGGCGACGCGGAAGUACGAGGGAGGGGGACCAAGGUCGCACGUUCCGUCUAGAAACACGGGCCGGGGAGUUCACGGCCGUGGCAAGCUUAAGGGUUCAAAGCCCGUAAGCGAAGGGAAACCGAUAUGCGCGCAGCUGGUUUUCAACCAGCGAGGCGCAGGGUCUGAAAGGGCCUGGAGUCACGGCUGUGACACUAGAAACCGGGCGAUCUAGCCCUGGGCAGGGCGAAGCUAGGCGAAAGCCUGGUGGAGGCCCGAAGGGGUGCUGAGGUGCAAUUCGUUCCUCUGACCUGGGGCUAGGGGCUAAAGACCAAUCUAGCCCGGUGAUAGCUAGUUCCCUCCGAAGUGGGUCGUAGCCCAGCCCCGAGCGAGGCGGCUCACGAGGUAGAGCACUGACUGGAAAGUAAGGGGCCGGAAGGCCUCGCUUUCCUAUCAAACUCCGAAUUCGUGAGCGCCGUAGACCUCGGGAGACGGGUUCUGGGGGGUAAGCUCCCAGUCCGAGAGGGGAACAACCCAGACCGAGGUUAAGGCCCCUAAAUGCUGGCUAAGUGUUAAACUGAAGGGCGUCAUCAGCCUUAGACAGCGGGGAGGUAGGCCUAGUAGCAGCCAUCCUUUAAAGAGUGCGUAACAGCUCACCCGCCGAGGCUGAUGGCCCCGAAAAUGGACGGGGCUAAGCCAGCUGCCGAUACCUCGGGGCGCAGCCUGACGGCUGCGGUCCGGUAGGAGGGCGUCCUGGUUGUGCGGAAGCUGGGCCGUGAGGUCCAGUGGACCGGCCAGGAUUGCAGAUCCCGGUGGUAGUAACAGCAAAGAGAGGUGAGAAUCCUCUCCGCCGUAGGGGCAAGGGU
rnacentral:rRNA from 1 species